rnacentral:rRNA from 1 species
UACGUAGGGGGCUAGCGUUGUCCGGAAUCAUUGGGCGUAAAGCGCGUGUAGGCGGUCCGGUAAGUCCGCUGUGAAAGUCGGGGGCUCAACCCUCGGAUGCCGGUGGAUACUGUCGGGCUUGAGUACGGAAGAGGCGAGUGGAAUUCCUGGUGUAGCGGUGAAAUGCGCAGAUAUCAGGAGGAACACCAAUUGCGAAGGCAGCUCGCUGGGACGUUACUGACGCUGAGACGCGAAGGCGUGGGGAGCAAACAGG